rfam:Flavobacterium beibuense F44-8 contig27, whole genome shotgun sequence.
UACCUUUGCACCCAAUCGGGAUAGGCCCGUUACAUAAAAAUUAUUUAAACAAAUAUUGGCAUG